CCCGACUUGCUCUCGCAGGAGCGCGAGGUUGGGGUUUUUUUGCCGGUUUCGAGUGGUUUUCUGCAGGCUUCCAGCCGCUCCCGAGCAGCGGUGCGGCCGUGCUACGAGAGCGCGAGCGCGCGCGGUGAGGCGUUGCCCGGUGUCCCGAGACGAGCGCUACCGGUCGGACUCUCCGGAAGCCUGUCCGGCAGCCCCAGGCCGCCCCCGAGCCCUGGCGUGAAGGCGGCAAGCUGGCCCUCGCCUGUGCCGCUUUCUUCCUGAACGGGGGUGCUGGCGGCGGCGGCGGCAGCGGCAGCAGCGCGGGGAAAGAGCGGCGUCUCCGGAAGCCCCUGCAGAAGGAGGAGGGUCUCCGGCCAGGGCCGACCUCCGGUAGUAACGGCCACUGCUUUUUCUUUCCCUCUCCCAGGCCGCGCUGAGGACGUGGUUGCCCGUCCCUCCCUUGGGGAUGCCGUCGACUGCACCCGCCUCGCCUGUGCCUGGCCUGGCUCGCCUCGUGGCGUGGGGGCGAAAAGGGACAGGCGGCGGAGCGCUUACCGGCCGUGGACAGGAGCUGCCCUAAGGGAAGCUGGAAUGGCCAGAGAAAGGUGAAGAAGAAGAAGAAGAAGAAGAGAUGGAAGGCUCUCCGGCCGGCAGCUGCCUCCCGCUGCAGGCAAGAGAGCGCCUGCCUCGCCGGGCGGAGGACAGCCGAGCGACCGGAGUGACAGCAAAGGAAAGGCGGAGAGCGGGAGAAAGAAGCGUCUGCGCUGGCAAGCUCUCCCGGCAGCGCCGAGAGCCAGAGCUGCGGUGCCGCCGCGCCGAUGCUCCGUACGUUCGCAGUAACGGGUAGAGCGGAAGGCUCUGUGGCCAGGGAAGAGCGGCACGGACACGUUCCUGCUCGCUCCGUUGCACCGGAAUUUCGACGGCUGGGUUCGGCCGCUAAAUUGAUGGCGCUACCGGAAGAAAUUUCAGAAAAAUAUGAGAAAAGCUCUGUCCAGAGAUAUGGAGACGAAAUCAGUUGUACCUCACCCUGUGACACCGGAAGACAUUGAGUAACUGUAAGCUGUGAUGCUCAGUGAAAUUACUAAGAGCGUUAAGUUUCCCGUGCCUUUGCUUUCACUCUCCCAUUCUCUUGUCUUGCGGCACGUCGCAUUUGUUGAGGCCGUGGAAGCGACACCGGGAGCGAUGGGGUGUCAGAACCAGGUCCUCCUGCCUGUCGCUGGUUUUGCUUACCUUCGCCGUCUCUGUGUACCAGCCUGCAUCUCUCUCUCUGUUCCUCAAUCCCUGUCCUCUCUUCUCUGUUCUGCUUUGUUUCACUGCGUAUGUCCCGUUCCCUGUCCCACCGUUAGCCUUCCUUCCUUCUUCCUCGCCUUUUUCUUUGUCCUGUUGUCCUGCUCCCCGACCCUGUUUCUCGCUCCAUCUGACCGUCCUUUUCCUGGCACCUUUGUGUCUCUGCUCCUUGCCCCCGUCUUUCUCUCCCCUCUGCCCAGUCCUCGUCUCCCUCUUUUGUCUCUCUGUCCCUCUGUCCUCCUUCUGCCUCUGCCCCUCUGUCCUGCUCCCUGCCCCUCUUGUUCUCACUCUGCC